rnacentral:rRNA from 1 species
AGUACGUGAAACCGUUUGGAGGUAAACGGGUGGAACCGCAAAGUCUGUCCGGGGAAUUCAACCUGGCGGGUGGCUGCGGGCGCAGUGUAUGGAUCGUAAAGACCGCGCUGUGCUUCGACAGUCGCUUGCCGGGCGCACUUUCCCCGGACGGAGCGCCACGACCGGUUCCCUGGCCGUCAGAAGCCCGCUGGAAAGGUAGCUCCGCCCUUCGGGGGGGAGUGUUAUAGUCCUGCGAGGUGUUGGCCGGCCGGGGGACCGAGGAACUUGCCCGCGCCCGCCCUCGUGGCUUGGGCGGCCGGCUCGUGCUGUCCGCGGUUUGCGGGGACUGUUCUCAGUGCCUGCUCGCCGUGGGCGGUUCGGGACCGGUGCUGCUCGAGUCGGCGCUUGGGGUCGGUGGCGAAUCGGUCGGCCCUCCACCCGACCCGUCUUGAAACACGGACCAAGGAGUCUAACAUGUGCGCGAGUCAUGGGGUUCUACGAAACCUAAAGGCGCAAUGAAGGUAAAUGCAGGUAGGAUCCCGUUCCGCGGGCGCACUACCGGCCCGUCACGAGCCCU